UGCCUGACAGCUGACGGGACGUGGCCUGCAUCCCAGCAUCGGGCAGAGCAAGCAACUACAUACGGGGGGGGGGGGGGCCCAAAACAUACCCACAGAUGGUGCCAUCGAUCUAAGGGACGGGUGCCCCCACACAGAAGGCCCCGGGUCCGGCCGUGCGUGUAUGCAGGCACCAUCGGGGACGGGACACCCAGGGAAGGAGGGCACUUGAGGCAAAGGUGACCAAACACCUCCAGAAACAGGGAGGGCAGCUGCAGUCCCCAGAGCCUCUAGAACCUUCUGUUCUGGAACCCGGUGGGAGCACGCAUUCACCAGACUUGGUGCCCCCACAAAGAACCAGGUGGGUCUCUCAAAGGGCCUGGGGGCCAAGCCAUCCCCACAGGAGACCCAGCCUAACUGGUAAAAACAAGGAAAUGACCCCAUCUGCAUGUUUCAACGAAGGAAAGCGCAGGAGAGAAUGAAGGCCAGGGUUGCUGAGGAAGAGCUGACGGCGGGAACACAGGCACACUCGCACAAAGGCCCCGCGGGCCACCCCACAAGGACAAGGAGAUCACCGUGUUGAAGGCCACUCACCUCCCCGGCUGGGCGCUCCUGCUGGCCGGUCUGCGCAGCAUCCCAGGAUGCGCCCAGCUUGAAGCUCACGCACUGGAUGACGGUGCCAGUGUUGAGGCCGGCUUGCAGGAGCAGCUGCAGCAUCAGAAGCAACCGCAGAACAGCAACGCAUACCUUGAUGGCUGGCGGGUAGUCUUUGAAGAUCUCCAGGAUUCUCAUGAUGCUGAACGACAGGUACCCAGAGGCAGUGAACAGCAGCGGGGACGCGAGGCUGCAGAUGGCAAUCAGCACCUCCACCUGACGGGAAGCAGGUGAGAACGCGGGUCUGGCCGGCCCGAGGGGCCCGGGAGCCGCUGUCUGCACGGGCAGGGGUGGACGUCUGCCACAAUGGGCAGGGAGGGUGGACGUGGCCCUGGGCUCAGCACGAGGCCCUCGCCAGGCUCUCUGCUCUUGGUCACCAUGAGCUCCACGCGUGGCCUGUGUCCCACCAGAUCCCCUGCCUCGCGCACAACUAACCACUCUGUUCAAAGAGCAACACAAACGAACGGCCGGCCUUCCCGCUGCCCUAAACCCUGUUCUUUUAAAACCCCACCCACAUCGGAGGACGAUGCCUGGGUUGUCUCGGAGGCCACACAGCCUCGAGCAGGUGCUGAUAAAGCACGAACUCAGGUGUCACUGUCAAACAACAGACCUGGCAAGACUCAGGAUGGGCCGGAAGGACCAGGUGUUGUCCUUCCUAUGCUGAGUCACAGGACUCUCCUGACUUUCACACCAGAUGUGCUCACUUCCAGCCCUCAGAGUGCCACACAGCCCUCGCCAGGCCGUCCCUGGCUCGGCACCCUCUCAGGCUCAGCCCUGCAGCCCUAUCACCGUGGGGGAGAGCCCUGUCAAAUGGCAGCCCGAGAAGGGGUGAGCCAGGCCCUAGCAGUGCACAGCAGGUCCCUGGCACCUGGGGACAGGGCCUCACUUACCAGACACUUGCUUGGACACUCAGCUGUGACGUGACUGGCAAUGGCGCUUGGAAAACACUAAGAGAAAACAAAACACAAAGAUUUCAGAGGUGACAGUCAAGGAAGUUAAUUCCAAUCACGUGCUCCUGUUUCGAGGGGCACAUCCUUGUGGCCAGUAGAGCCGAAGCCUGCCUUCCUGGCUAGGGGGCUGGCAGGGCUGGAAAGGGCCGGGGGGAAGUGGGGUGGCCUCUCCGAGGCCUCAUGUGCUCUGUUCCAUGGCUGCAACGCACGUCUGCAAAGAGGCUGCAAGAGCCACACCAGGAGUGGCCUGGACGUCCCGGAAUUGCUGCCUGUGACAUUUUGCCACCUCGGCUGAGAUCGGGGACACCUGCCCUGAGUAUGCGUGCGUGUGCCUGCUGAAACUGAGGCCAUUCUCCUGAACCAUCUCAAUUCAGCAUCACACUGAGGAAAUGUCAUACGGAUUAUGUGUGUUACCUGUGUUCAGAUUCUCCCAACUACCCCAGUAAUGUCCUGUCGUAGGUGUUCUUUGUUCCUGGUUUAGGAUGCAAUCAGUGAUCACAAUGUGCUUAUGAGUCCCCUUGACCAGGGAGACCUAGGUCAUUGUCAGAUGCAGAGGUCCUGAAGAGCACACCAGCUAGCUGCAGAUGGGCAUUAGCUGGGGCCAGUCUGGUGCUUCCUCAUCAUCAGACUCAGGGAACCCCAGGAGACAUGGCUCCCCGCCAGGCCACCCACCACACUAUGACCUAGCGGUUAGGUGGGCUCUUCAGUGGCUCUCCUCCACUGAGAGGGCCCUUUCCUCUUUAUACUCAAUAAACGUCUUUUUCCACUUA